rnacentral:lncRNA from 1 species
CCAUCAUGUUUGGGAACCGGGAGCAUCUCUCUUGCUUCCUCCUUUUGCUCUCUUGCUCUUCUGAAUGAUCCGACCGGCAUAUAAAGCGAUGCAGAAAGAGCACUUCACCAAUCGAGUAGCAGAGCUUGGAGGCAACCCCAAAAGUUGCAACCAUGAUGAGUCGUUAUAGCCUGGUGCUUUAGUUGCAGCAAGCUUCCUCCACUUCUUUCUUUUCCUGCAAAGAGACCCCGCUUUGCCUUGGGGUAGCUUUGCAAUUGCCCCCUGAAGCCUUCAUGAAUCACCAAACAGUCAUACGAACUGGUUAUUUAUCGUAGGAGAUGGGUGACAACAUGCUCUGUGACAGCAUCUGUUUGCCUGAGUAGAGUUGACAAGGAAGAGCGAAAGUUAAUUAAAUUUCAUGGUGCAAGCUUAUACAUGUUUUUUGCUGUAAAAUCUACAUAUUGUUGUCUCUGUUUUUGAAAUAAAAUUCAAUCUGUCAACUAGCUUAUCAAGUUGUUGAGGAAAGAAGACAUGAAAGAAUAGAGGCAGCCUUAUACUCAAAUAUCAGAAUGGCUGCCUCCUAUGGUUCAGGAUUUAUCUAUGAAAUAUCACCUAUAUCCAUGUAUUGAAGGAGUCAUGAGUAUGUUCUAUAAAAC